GCCUAGUUAGCUUAGUUGGUAGUGCGUCUGCCUUGUAAGCGCUAGGCCGCGGGUUCGAUUCCCGUCCGGGGCG
rfam:Asian citrus Psyllid, Diaphorina citri - Florida Strain, whole genome shotgun sequence.